rnacentral:rRNA from 1 species
GACGAACGCUGGCGGCGUGCUUAACACAUGCAAGUCGAACGGAAAGGCCCUGCUUGCAGGGUACUCGAGUGGCGAACGGGUGAGUAACACGUGGGUGAUCUGCCCUGCACUUCGGGAUAAGCCUGGGAAACUGGGUCUAAUACCGGAUAGGAGCCAUUUUUAGUGUGAUGGUUGGAAAGUUUUUUCGGUGUAGGAUGAGCUCGCGGCCUAUCAGCUUGUUGGUGGGGUAAUGGCCUACCAAGGCGGCGACGGGUAGCCGGCCUGAGAGGGUGGACGGCCACAUUGGGACUGAGAUACGGCCCAGACUCCUACGGGAGGCAGCAGUGGGGAAUAUUGCACAAUGGGCGCAAGCCUGAUGCAGCGACGCCGCGUGGGGGAUGACGGCCUUCGGGUUGUAAACUCCUUUCGCUAGGGACGAAGCUUUUGCGACGGUACCUAGAGAAGAAGCACCGGCUAACUACGUG